AUGGGAGGACGGCUGGGUCGCGUGACCCUCCAGCUGGUGGAUCCAUGGUGGCUGACCAUCGAGCUCGAGGCAGAGAAGCUUAGGGUAGCCGUGGCGAGAUCCAUGCCAGCCAACCGGGCGAAGAGAAGGUCGUCGGGGAGGGCCACAUCGGCAAGUGCAUCGUCGUCAUCUUCUGCCCCUGCCGCNNNNNNNNNNCAGCUGGAACACCAGCUGGGUUUUGCCAUCCUCCGGCAGGGUUACCUGUGGGCCGUCCACCCGCAGGGCUACAUGGCACGCGCCGAUCUCGCCCUCGCAGUCCAGCUGGUCGAGCACGAUCUACACGCUGCUGCUGUUUCACCACCCGACCCUGCCUCUGAAAGGACGCAAGCCGCCUUCAAGUACGCCGCAAGCUGUGGGCGGCGGCACCCUGCGCCUGAUGACCUGGUGCGGCUCCAGGCGUCGCCCCUGCCCAAACAGUGCCUCCGCGACUCCGCCCCCUUGCUCGAGAAGGGAGGGCGCAAGCUCAGCGUCGAUGAUGUCAUUGCCAUCAUGGAUUUGCUGCGAUACCAGGUCGGUGCCCCCUUGGAUCUUCAGUUCAGCUUGCGGCCAAGCGGAAGAGAGCUACUUGUCUACUGCCGGGACAUCAAGGCCGAUGAAGGGAGACUAGACAUUUCCAACACCACAAGCUCCGAUGGCUUCAAAAUGUUCACCAUCAAUGUCGAGCGUCAUGGAGACCACUUCGCGGCCCUGCGGUCUCCUCACGAGCACAGAUCCAUGAUCUCAUCCUGUUUGCAGAAGGUCGUGAAAACCGCCAAAGCACACUUCGGCUCUGCGGUCAUGAUCUGUUCUGGCGAUGCCUACGAAUACACUGGGUCUCUCAGGAUGAGGCUCCACGACAUGAUCCACGGCUUCUAUCUCAAAGUCUUCGCCAUGCUGCCCUCUACGUGGCUCCACCUCAUCCCCCACAUCCUAUUCGCUGGCCACUGCUAUGGCCCCAUGGACCCUGUCUCCAACAUCAUCAUCAACUCCAUUUGCCACCACAUACUGCGCUCGCUCCCAUCGUCAGCUGACUACAAAGUAGAGGUGUAUGACAUCCUCGACACCCUCUCUAUGCUUCGUGUGGAGGUCCGUUCCUUGGAAGGCCUCACUGCCCUCGUCCGAGCAAGCUCCGAGUCCCAAUGCUCGACGCAGCGGGCGAUGGAGCACCUCUCCUGCAAACGCUGUGACCUGUCCCAGGAGACGCACACCUCGCUGCAGUUUACUGACGCAGCCGCAGCCGCUCGACACCCACAACAUGCUGAGCUGGGAUCAUUCUUCGCUUCCCUGGCGCCUGACAGGCUCAUUGACCUGCGGCUCUUGCUGGCCACUAGCGCCGAUGGCAGGAUCUCCUUUGAGUCUCUUGGGGAAAUAAUAUCCACUCUCAAACAAAGUGCACUGCUGUUGGUGGCUCCCGUAUCUUCCAAUGCGGCUGAACUGUGCAACGAGGCUAAGGAGACUCUGCUACAAAAGAGGUCAUGUUAUAACGAGAUGAAGUUAUUCAUCCGCGCUGAGCUUGCGCAAGUGCUGAAGAAAUAUGCCUUUGAGCAUCCUCUGGUACAUGGCUUUGUUUGUGUCCAUUGUUUCUUUCUUGGGUACAUACUACAUUCUUAA
rnacentral:rRNA from 1 species